AGUGAACGCUGGCGGUAGGCCUAACACAUGCAAGUCGAACGGCAGCACAGUAAGAGCUUGCUCUUACGGGUGGCGAGUGGCGGACGGGUGAGGAAUACAUCGGAAUCUACUUUUUCGUGGGGGAUAACGUAGGGAAACUUACGCUAAUACCGCAUACGACCUACGGGUGAAAGCAGGGGAUCUUCGGCCCUUGCGCGAUUGAAUGAGCCGAUGUCGGAUUAGCUAGUUGGCGGGGUAAAGGCCCACCAAGGCGACGGUCCGUAGCUGGUCUGAGAGGAUGAUCAGCCACACUGGAACUGAGACACGGUCCAGACUCCUACGGGAGGCAGCAGUGGGGAAUAUUGGACAAUGGGCGCAAGCCUGAUCCAGCCAUACCGCGUGGGUGAAGAAGGCCUUCGGGUUGUAAAGCCCUUUUGUUGGGAAAGAAAAGCAGCAGGUUAAUACCCCGCUGUUCUGACGGUACCCAAAGAAUAAGCACCGGCUAACUUCGUG
rnacentral:rRNA from 1 species